GACGAACGCUGGCGGCGUGCCUAAUACAUGCAAGUAGAACGCUGAAGGAGGAGCUUGCUUCUCUGGAUGAGUUGCGAACGGGUGAGUAACGCGUAGGUAACCUGCCUGGUAGCGGGGGAUAACUAUUGGAAACGAUAGCUAAUACCGCAUAAGAGUAGAUGUUGCAUGACAUUUACUAAAAAGGUGCAAUUGUAUCACUACCAGAAGGACCUGCGGUGUAUUAGCUAGUUGGUGAUGAAACGGCUCACCAAGGCAACGAUACAUAGCCGACCUGAGAGGGUGAUCGGCCACACUGGAACUGAGACACGGCCCAGACUCCUACGGGAGGCAGCAGUAGGGAAUCUUCGGCAAAGGACGGAAGUCUGACCGAGCAACGCCGCGUGAGUGAAGAAGGUCUUCGGAUCGUAAAGCUCUGUUAUAAGGGAAGAACGAGUGUGAGAGUAGAAAGUCCCCACUGUGCCGGUAUCUUACAAGAAGGGACCGGCUACCUCCGU
rnacentral:rRNA from 1 species